GAGCUAAGCUUUCAAACAAUAUUGAAUGUGAAAUCUUUCAGAUAUUACUUGAGGAAGCGAAAGAAAAUUAUCAAGAGAACAUAGUGGUGGCUCUAAGGAGUGACACUGUAGAAGAUGUAGCUAGAAAUGUUGAAACACUGGCGAAUUGGGUCAAGAAUUGGCAACCUGUAAGCUAAGUAGAUUAGAAAACAAAGAAGAGAUUACUUUUGCACUCGUUUUCUUGAUUCUAAUUUUAUGUAAAGUAAAAGAAAGCUG
rnacentral:misc_RNA from 1 species